CUACCAAGAGAACGGUUGUCACUUCUGCCUAUGUAUCUUUCCAGCAGGGCUGGGACCACAUGGGAAGCAUCCUUCAAAGCCCCCUUCAAGUGCUCUCUCUGAAAUCUGCUGUCUAUUCCUGUCUACAAUGAUUCAGCAAUGAGGAAACAUUGACAGAGUAUCUGCUAUGUGCUAGUCACUGUAGACUUCCCCAUCUAAUCUCACAACAAACCUGUCAGGUCUAAAAGAGUCAUGGAGAUGCUGUGGUGAGGGGAGAGGCCAGGCUUAGAGACCUUCAAGAUCUU
rnacentral:lncRNA from 1 species